rnacentral:rRNA from 1 species
UACGAAGGGGGCUAGCGUUGCUCGGAAUUACUGGGCGUAAAGGGCGCGUAGGCGGAUGUCUAAGUUGGGGGUGAAGUCCCGGGGCUCAACCUCGGAACCGCCUUCAAUACUGGAUAUCUUGAGUUCGGGAGAGGUGAGUGGAAUGCCGAGUGUAGAGGUGAAAUUCGUAGAUAUUCGGCGGAACACCAGUGGCGAAGGCGACUCACUGGCCCGAUACUGACGCUGAGGCGCGAAAGCGUGGGGAGCAAACAGG